rnacentral:rRNA from 1 species
UACAGAGGGGGCAAGCGUUAUUCGGAAUUAUUGGGCGUAAAGGGCGCGUAGGCGGCUUGGCAAGUGGAUGGUGAAAUCCCUCGGCUUAACCGAGGAACUGCCGUCCAAACUGCUUCGCUUGAGACCGGGAGAGGUGAGUGGAAUUCCCAGUGUAGCGGUGAAAUGCGUAGAUAUCGCUUGGAACGCCAAUGGUGAAAACAGCUCGCUGGGGGUGUGCUGACGCUGAGACACGAAAGCCAGGGGAGCGAACGGG